rnacentral:sRNA from 1 species
GCGAACCUCGCCCCUAGGAAGGAAGAGAUAUUUUUGUGAACCUAUAAGCAUGCACUGACUUUUUAUAUAUAUGUGACAUCAAGCUUAAUCAUACUUAGUAUUACUUUGAUGAUGAAUUACGAUUAUAUUCAACUAUGGUUAUUUCAUCUUGGUCAUUAUUAUCAUACUUUAUUCAUUAUUGUUUUCAUGAUUGUAAUGCGAUAUAAUCAAGCUAUAUGAUUUUAUGAACAUGUAUACAUCCUGGGUAUAGAUUUGUUUUUAUAGAUGAAUGGUGUUCCAAGCCGGAGGUGGAAACAUGUCACUUGUUACUAUCUCUUAACAUAGAUGUUCUGACUGGUAUGUCACUAGGAAGUUCGUCUGAUCAAGGGUAGAUCAAGGACGCUUUCCUAUUCCGGGCGCCAGGCAUGAGAAAUCUCCCUUCGGGAUAUUUCUUUUGUUUGGGGGACGUAUGUAAACAGAUAGCCAUGCUAUGACCUUGAAUUGCUAGUAUUACAUAAUGGUCACUAUGAUAUUUAUGUGUACCUAGAUGCUGCGCACUGAAUGGUGUUAAUAAUAAUUGACAGAAUGAACUCUGUGACUCUUGUAGCAAUGCGUAGUAUUCCUAAAUGAUGUUAUGAAACCAGGUCAUAAUACGGGCAGAAUAAUAUCCAAAUUGAGAGUUUAACAACAUGUGACCUAUUUGGCGAUUCUGUGUCUGCAACGAAUGCUCUAGUAUUCUAUAUUGAGUCAUGUAUUGUGUAUUCUAUAUAUUAACCUUUGUAACCUUUUAUGCCGUGUAUGAAUGAACGUAUUGUGAGUAAGUGAUGCCUCAUACUAGGUGGGGGGGCUCCGAGACCCAGGACUCGGAGACCCACAUCCUGCAUCCAGACUCUUUGAUUGGCAGUUUUGACGGUUUUGUUACUUUAUUUAGAAAUAAAAUAUUAAUCUUAAUUUUGAACACUAAAUGUUCACUCAUGAUCGUCGUAUAUGGGCCGAACUAGUCAAAACUGUCCAUCAUAAGUAAAACCUUAUAUAUACCCAUAUGAAAUGAGAUUGUGCAGACUCCUGAUUUGGGCUGCUUUAGAUUGUUGUAAUCUUAACUAUACGAUCACGCUUAAUAAAACCGCUUGAGAAAG